rnacentral:rRNA from 1 species
AGCGAACGCUGGCGGCGUACUUAACACAUGCAAGUCGAACGGGGAUCAUCGGGUUAGCAAUAACUCGGUGGUCCUAGUGGCGCACGGGUGAGUAACACGUGGGUAACCUGCCCUGGAGACCGGGAUACCCCCUCGAAAGGGGGGCUAAUACCGGAUACGUUCCCUGGAUCGAGAGGUCUGGGGAGGAAAGGUGGCGAAAGCUGCCGCUCUUGGAGGGGCUCGCGGCCUAUCAGCUAGUUGGCGGGGAACGGCCCACCAAGGCUAUGACGGGUAGCUGGUCUGAGAGGACGACCAGCCACACGGGGACUGAGACACGGCCCCGACUCCUACGGGAGGCAGCAGUGGGGAAUUUUCCGCAAUGGGCGAAAGCCUGACGGAGUGACGCCGCGUGUGGGACGAAGGCCUUCGGGUCGU